CUGGUUUGUAGUGCGCAGCUAAUGCUACCGUAGCUUUAACUGGAAGACCCUGCGCACUGUGACGUGGCUGCUGAACUGUUGGGAGUUUGGUCGUGUCUUUGGACGAGGGGGAGAGAUCGUUAAAACGGCAGCAGUCUCCAAUGGGUCUCCUGCCAGUGAGCCUUUGGAUCUCAAUGGGAACUAUGGACCGGACACCCCCAUUGUGACAAUCAGCCCCCCAAACCAAGUCUAUUUUUUGUGAGCAGACAUCACUAUGUCCUGCUCUGCACAGUCCAGUCCUCCUGCUGUCUACCAAUGGGUAUUUAAUAGAGUCUAUUAUAACGGAUCAGGAUCAGAGCUAUCCAUUAAACUCCUUCAGCUGGACAACGCUGGAAACUAUACCUGCAUGGCUUAUAACAAUAUAACCCGCAGAUACGCUGCGUUCACACAAGAGCUCUCUGUUGUGGCACCGAUAACUACAGUGGCUGUAUCUCCCAGCAGAGCACAGCCAAUAGAAAACAAGACAUUCAGUCUGAGCUGUGAAGUGUCUGGGACUGCUGACUCGUGGCGCUGGCUGAAAGACGAUCAGCCUCUUUCCACUAAUGAGAGGAUAACAUUGUCUGGAGAGAGCAGCACUGUCUCCUUCAACCCAGUCCUGCAGUCUGAUAACGGCACAUAUCAGUGUGUAGCUUCUGACCCUAUAAGUGGAAUGGUCAGUCCAGGAUACACACUGG